rnacentral:rRNA from 1 species
CCUACGGGAGGCAGCAGUGAGGAAUAUUGGUCAAUGGGCGCGAGCCUGAACCAGCCAAGUCGCGUGAGGGAAGACGGUCCUAUGGAUUGUAAACCUCUUUUGUCGGGGAGCAAAAGACGCCACGCGUGGCGUUCCGAGAGUACCCGAAGAAAAAGGAUCGGCUAACUCCGUGCCAGCAGCCGCGGUAAUACGGAGGAUGCGAGCGUUAUCCGGAUUUAUUGGGUUUAAAGGGUGCGCAGGCGGAAGAUCAAGGCAGCGGUAAAAGUGAGAGGCUCAACCUCUUCGAGCCGUUGAAACUGGUUUUCUUGAGUGAGUGAGAAGUAUGCGGAAUGCGUGGUGUAGCGGUGAAAUGCAUAGAUAUCACGCAGAACUCCGAUUGCGAAGGCAGCAUACCGGCGCUCAACUGACGCUCAUGCACGAAAGUGUGGGUAUCGAACAGGAUUAGAUACCCCAGUAGUC